rnacentral:rRNA from 1 species
UAAYGACUCUCGGCAACGGAUAUCUCGGCUCUCGCAUSGAUGAAGAACGCAGCAAAAUGMGAUACUUGGUGUGAAUUGCAGAAUCCCGUGAAUCAUCGAGUUUUUGAACGCAAGUUGCGCCCGAWGCCUUUCGGCGGAUGGCACGUUUGCCUGGGWGUCACRC